rnacentral:rRNA from 1 species
GAUGAACGCUGGCGGCGUGCCUAAUACAUGCAAGUCGAGCGAACGGACGAGAAGCUUGCUUCUCUGAUGUUAGCGGCGGACGGGUGAGUAACACGUGGAUAACCUACCUAUAAGACUGGGAUAACUUCGGGAAACCGGAGCUAAUACCGGAUAAUAUUUUGAACCGCAUGGUUCAAAAGUGAAAGACGGUCUUGCUGUCACUUAUAGAUGGAUCCGCGCUGCAUUAGCUAGUUGGUAAGGUAACGGCUUACCAAGGCAACGAUGCAUAGCCGACCUGAGAGGGUGAUCGGCCACACUGGAACUGAGACACGGUCCAGACUCCUACGGGGGGCAGCAGUAGGGAAUCUUCCGCAAUGGGCGAAAGCCUGACGGAGCAACGCCGCGUGAGUGAUGAAGGUCUUCGGAUCGUAAAACUCUGUUAUUAGGGAAGAACAUAUGUGUAAGUAACUGUGCACAUCUUGACGGUACCUAAUCAGAGAGCCACGGCUAACUAC